rnacentral:rRNA from 1 species
GUUACUGACGCUCAUGCUCGAAGGCGCGGGUAUCGAACAGGAUUAGAUACCCUGGUAGUCCGCGCGGUAAACGAUGGAUGCCCGCUGUGCGCCCCUGAGGGUGCGCGGCCAAGCGAAAGCGUUAAGCAUCCCACCUGGGGAGUACGCCGGCAACGGUGAAACUCAAAGGAAUUGACGGGGGCCCGCACAAGCGGAGGAGCAUGUGGUUUAAUUCGAUGAUACGCGAGGAACCUUACCCGGGCCUGAACUGCAGAGGAAGGAUCUGGAGACAGUGACGCCCUUCGGGGUCUCUGCGGAGGUGCUGCAUGGUUGUCGUCAGCUCGUGCCGUGAGGUGUCGGCUUAAGUGCCAUAACGAGCGCAACCCCUCUCCCCGGUUGCCAUCAGGUGAUGCUGGGCACUCCGUGGACACUGCCGCCGCAAGGUGGAGGAAGGUGGGGAUGACGUCAAAUCAGCACGGCCCUUACGUCCGGGGCUACACACGUGUUACAAUGGGGGGCACAGCGUGCCGGCGCUCCGCAAGGUGCGUCCAAUCAUGAAAUCCCCCCUCAGUUCGGACUGGGGUCUGCAACCCGACCCCACGAAGCUGGAUUCGCUAGUAAU